rnacentral:rRNA from 1 species
AUUGAACGCUGGCGGCAUGCCUUACACAUGCAAGUCGAACGGCAGCGGGCCUUCGGGUGCCGGCGAGUGGCGAACGGGUGAGUAAUGCAUCGGAACGUGCCAUUGAGUGGGGGAUAACGUAGCGAAAGUUACGCUAAUACCGCAUAUUCUGUGAGCAGGAAAGCAGGGGACCGCAAGGCCUUGCGCUCUUUGAGCGGCCGAUGUCAGAUCAGCUAGUUGGUGAGGUAAAGGCUUACCAAGGCGACGAUCUGUAGCGGGUCUGAGAGGAUGAUCCGCCACACUGGAACUGAGACACGGUCCAGACUCCUACGGAGGCAGCAGUGGGAAUUUUGGACAAUGGGCGCAAGCCUGAUCCAGCCAUGCCGCGUGAGUGAAGAAGGCCU